UACGUAGGGGGCAAGCGUUAUCCGGAUUUACUGGGUGUAAAGGGUGCGUAGGCGGAGUGUCAAGUCAGCGGUAAAAUUUCGGGGCUCAACCCCGUCGUGCCGUUGAAACUGACACCCUUGAGUGAGUGAGAAGUAAGCGGAAUGCGCGGUGUAGCGGUGAAAUGCUUAGAUAUCGCGCAGAACUCCGAUUGCGAAGGCAGCAUGCCGGCUCCACACUGACGCUGAGGCACGAAAGCGUGGGUAUCGAACAGG
rnacentral:rRNA from 1 species